GAGUAACGCGUGAGAAUCUGCCUUCAGGAUGGGGACAACAGUUGGAAACGACUGCUAAUACCCAAUGUGCCUACGGGUGAAACCUUAUUUGGCCUGAAGAUGAGCUCGCGUCUGAUUAGCUAGUUGGUGGUGUAAUGGACUCACCAAGGCAACGAUCAGUAGCUGGUCUGAGAGGAUGAGCAGCCACACUGGGACUGAGACACGGCCCAGACUCCUACGGGAGGCAGCAGUGGGGAAUUUUCCGCAAUGGGCGAAAGCCUGACGGAGCAAUACCGCGUGAGGGAGGAAGGUUCUUGGAUUGUAAACCUCUUUUCUCAGGGAAGAAAAAAAUGACGGUACCUGAGGAAUAAGCAUCGGCUAACUCCGUGCCAGCAGCCGCGGUAAUACGGGGGAUGCAAGCGUUAUCCGGAAUUAUUGGGCGUAAAGAGUCCGUAGGUGGUCUUACAAGUCGACUGUCAAAGCCCGCAGCUUAACUGCGGAGAGGCGGUGGAAACUGUGAGACUAGAGUAUGGUAGGGGUAGAGGGAAUUCCCAGUGUAGCGGUGAAAUGCGUAGAUAUUGGGAAGAACACCGGUGGCGAAAGCGCUCUACUGGACCAUAACUGACACUGAGGGACGAAAGCCAAGGUAGCGAAUGGGAUUAGAUAC
rnacentral:rRNA from 1 species